rnacentral:rRNA from 1 species
UACGUAGGGCGCAAGCGUUAUCCGGAAUUAUUGGGCGUAAAGAGCUCGUAGGCGGUUUGUCGCGUCUGCCGUGAAAGCCCAGGGCUUAACCCUGGGUCUGCGGUGGGUACGGGCAGACUAGAGUGUGGUAGGGGAGACUGGAAUUCCUGGUGUAGCGGUGAAAUGCGCAGAUAUCAGGAGGAACACCGAUGGCGAAGGCAGGUCUCUGGGCCACUACUGACGCUGAGAAGCGAAAGCAUGGGGAGCAAACAGG